GUCCCUGUAACGCAAAUGGAUAGCGCGUUGGACUUGUAAUCCAAAGGUCGUGGGUUGAGAUCCCACCUGAGAUG